AAUGGGACCGGUUGCAGCCUUAUUUUCAAGGUCUGGAUGUGACCGAGGACGAGACACCUCCACCUGGAGUAGUAUCCAGCUGGGCUUUAUCUAGAGCUGGCGAGAUAUAUUUCGGCCACGCUUUGUACCUGCACUUUGAAGCCCACCCUGAUCACAGCCAUUUUAUACUUUUUUAUUAUACUGAAAACACUUCUCCUGUAGAGAAUAAAAUCAAGUGUUUAUACAUGUGUGGUGUUGACUGUUUCAUUUGGAAAGCUGAUGUCUCCAUUUAGAGUUACAGACAGAAUGAAGGGAACACUGGUAUAAAAAUCUUGAAUUCAGGUGCUGCUGCUUCCUGAGAAACUUGUAUAAUUAAAGUAUUAAAAACCAAAGCAGAUUAAAGCUCACAAUCACAUCAGGAGUAUUUCAUUAAUCGACUAAUCUUUAAAUCUGCUGAUAUCAACAGUUGGGUAGUUUAUUGUAUAACAAGGUCUAAUAAAUAAACUCUAUGUGUUUUGUUUGCAGUGAUCUGACCUGUCUGAUUGCUUUCACCUGUGUGUCGUUAUCUCCCCUGUCAGAGUGUAUAUAAGUCUGAGUCUUCCCUUUGUUCUCUGCUCCAUCGUCUUGUCCUGCAUGUGAGCUUUCCAGUGUUCUUCCCAGUGUGUCCUCCUCAUGAGACUGACCUGUUGGUAUUUAGACCAGUGAGUUUAUGCCUGUUGAUUUGGAUACCUCUGCCUGUGCUGACUGCCCUUUGUGUACCGACCCUGACUGGAUUAAAACACCCUGAACUUUGGAUUUCCUCUCAGUCUGCAUGUGUGAACUGAGUCUGGUAAUCAAGGCUCUCCUGUGGAGAGGCCGAGGUGAUAAAAAGGGGAAGCAGAAGCUGCGCGGAGGUUGAACGCACGGCUGUGAGACGAAUGCGCUGGAGUGAACGGACACGGAGACAUCUGCUCGCCUUCCCUGACGCAGAGAGAGAACCCCCCCCGCCUGGCCACCUCACCUGUUUGAGAACAUUUUUUUUUUCGCCUCUACCCUGAUAAUUUUGAUUGACAUUUUUAUCUCUUGGCCACUGACUGUCUUUUUUCAACUAUUUGUUAUUUGGGAACUAGGUAAUUGGAUGUGGGGAGGGGGUUAAAGGGGUCUGGAGUCACAAUAGACGUUUUCUUAAGACCCGCUCUAUUAUGUGUUGCCUGCAUGUGUGUAUUGGAUUUUUCCUUUAGUUUGUGUUGGUUGAUGCAUUUAUUUUGCUGUGACCCUUAUUGCUUUUAUGGAUUGCUUUGCUGUAGUGCAGUGAUAUACCCAGGUCUCAUUAAUUGUCUAUUUUAAGUGGCCAAAUUAUUUAACUGAAGUCCCCCUCCUCUCCUCGCUUAUUCACCAAUAUUACUGGCUGAAAAUCUAAAGUCCCAGACUACUUCACUCUAGUGAGCCGCAAGAUUUGAUUGUAUCAGUUAUUAUUGUUUCCUGUAAUAAAGUGUAACUUUUUACCUGC